UAUUUUUAAUUGACAUAACCAAAUCAUCUAGUAAAAUGAGGAUGAUGCAUCGG
rnacentral:tRNA from 1 species